CUCCAACCCUGUUCCUGGAGAGAGACCCUCCUGUAGGUUUUAACUCCAACCCUGUUCCUGGAGAGACCCUCCUGUAGGUUUUAGACUCCAACCCUGUUCCUGGAGAGAGACCCUCCUGUAGGUAACUCCAACCCUGUUCCUGGAGAGAGACCCUCCAGUAGGUAACUCCAAACCUGUUCCUGGAGAGAGACCCUCCUGUAGGUAACUCCAACCCUGUUCCUGGAGAGAGACCCUCCUGUAGGUUUUAACUCCAACCCUGUUCCUGGAGAGAGACCCUCCUGUAGGUAACUCCAACCCUGUUCCUGGAGAGAGACCCUCCUGUAGGUAACUCCAACCCUGUUCCUGUAGAGAGACCCUCCUGUAGGUAACUCCAACCCUGUUCCUGGAGAGAGACCCUCCUGUAGGUAACUCCAACCCUGUUCCUGGAGAGAGACCCUCCUGUAGGUAACUCCAACCCUGUUCCUGGAGAGAAACCCUCCUGUAGGUUUACACUCCAACCCUGUUCCUGGAGAGAGACCCUCCAGUAGGUUUUAACUCAACCCUGUUCCUGGAGAGAGACCCUCCUGUAGGUAACUCCAACCCUGUUCCUGGAGAGAGACCCUCCUGUAGGUAACUCCAACCCUGUUCCUGGAGAGAGACCCUCCUGUAGGUAACUCCAACCCUGUUCCUGGAGAGAGACCCUCCUGUAGGUAACUCCAACCCUGUUCCUGGAGAGAAACCCUCCUGUAGGUUUAACUCCAACCCUGUUCCUGGAGAGAGACCCUCCUGUAGGUUUUAACUCCAACCCUGUUCCUGGAGAGAGACCCUCCUGUAGGUUUUAACUCCAACCCUGUUCCUGGAGAGAGACCCUCCUGUAGGUUUUAACUCCAACCCUGUUCCUGGAGAGAGACCCUCC
ensembl:lncRNA